rnacentral:antisense_RNA from 1 species
AGCGCUCUGUUCUGCCCUUUGACUGAAAAUAGCUCUUCCUGACACAGCCUUGGGUAGUGAAGGCAGCUUGGUCACGUCUGUCCCAUGGUGUAACUAAUCUUUAGGAUCUGCAGAGACCUGCCUUCCUCUGCAAUUGUAACUGUACCUCCAAUCGUGAGUUUCAUCUGGCAGCUUAACUGGGCUACCAGCGAGGUCCUCAUAAUGGCUUUUGCUCCUUGCCUCGCGGAGACCCGACUCUGGAAUCCUUAGCCAGUGAGAUGUGGUCUCACUAUGUUGUCUAGACUGGCCUCAAACUGCUGGGCUCCUGCGAUCCACCUACCUUGGCCUUCCAAAGUGCUGGGAUUACAGGCGUGAGCCACCAUGCCCAGCCGCUUCAUCUUUCUUUACUCAUGCCUUAGAGGACUCGGUCAAGACAAUGGUGCCCUCAGGAAGGUUACGAGAGAGCAAGCUGUGCUGCUUUGCCCAUCUUGGGAUGAGCGUCACCCAGAGAGAGGGACCAGAAUCCCUGAGGCCAUCUUGGUUCAUCUGCACCGUCUCUCCUACACCUCUUCACCCCUCCCCUCUCCACUUCACUCCAGGCUGCGUUGGGGCGGGGAGGUGAUCAUCCAAGGCCCUGGCUCUCCAUCGAGACCCCAGCCAGGUAGUGCCCCUAUUGCCUGAGCAAGCUUGCGCAGGAUGGGGCUGGAGCUGCACUAUUUGGAUCUUCUUGGAGUAGAAAAUUCACAAAUUCCAACCUCUGCUCCCAAAGCAAACCUCCCCAGCCCAGGUGGCUGCAUCCUUCUCCUCCCCUCCACCCAGUUCCCUGGGUCGCCAAGCCGGAGGCUUUGAAAACCAGCUUGUGUUUGGUUUGUGAAAGCACCAAUGUUUGCAAUGUUUGCCCAGCAGAGAAGGAGCAUAUUUUCUCCCUUCCAAAUGCAAACUCAAAAGAUGCUCCACAAGUUUUUCUUCAGACUUUCCACAGGAAACAUAAAUAAGAAAGAAAAAUGACUUUAGGUGCUGAGACCUGAAAUGGAAUUUCAACCCUGAAGGAACUGCCUGUAACAAGCACUCUCUGUCCUUCAGUGAAGGCUUCGAGAGCCUAGGUGCAUGUUUCUUUCCUCUGAGCAGCCUUCACAGAUGAGGCAAGGGGAGGAGCUGAACCAGUUCUUAGACCUGACUCCCAGCUAGGUCUUCAGCCCCACACAAUGAAUGGCCAGUGACUGGCACAGCAGCUGAGAUUCCCUGGCUACAGUGUUCUUUUUUAUCUUUCUUGAUUGUGUUAGGGUAGAACAAAUGAGGGUGCUGCAACCCGAGAGGCCCAGCCACACUGCAAGCCAGCACAAUCAGAGUGUGAAGUGUGGACACGCCCCCCUGGAACACAAGGCCACAGUUUGCCACCUGCUCUGCCCUUGUCUCCGUCUCGGAAGAAGGACAUCCCUGAUCUGUGGCCUCUGUCCUCACGGAUCUUAUAAUUAUCAGACAAACACAACCACAGAGAGGCUGGAAGGCAGUGCUUCAGCAUCACACAUAUGCAUCGGUGACCAGAGUUCUGAUUAAUCUUAAUGCACAGAUAAUUGGAGCAUUUCUUGCUCACAGCUUAUAGCCACCAAAUGACUGCUUCCAGGUUAGGAGUUUGCAGAAUAUGUACACACACGGAGCCCUACAAAAGGCUCCAGACCCAAGAAAUACAGGGUUGAAGUCAGUGUGGACAGUUCUAAUGCAGCUAAUACAUUCUAACUGAUUUGUUGUGAGCUAAGGGUUGAGUGUUUACAGUUUAAGGUCACUGUUUCUGUCUCCUGACAUCUGAGAACCUUUCUUCUUCUUCUUUUUUUUUGAGACAGAGUCUUGCCGUGUCAUCCAGGCUGGAGUGCAGUGGCAUGAUCUCGGCUCACUGUAACCUCUGCUUCCCAGGUUCAAGCGAUUCUCUUGCCUCAGCCUCCUGAGUAGCUGGGAUUAUAGGCACCCCCCGCCAGACCUGGCAAAUUUUGUAUUUUUAGUUUCGCCGUGUUGGCCAGGCUGGUCUCGAACUCCUGGUCUCAAGUGAUCCACCCACCUUAGCCUCCCAAAGUGCUGGGAUUACAGGCGUGAGCCACCGCGCCUCACCCAAGAACUUUUCUUCUUAAAGUGUUUUCCUUUCCCAUUGCAUUCUAUCUUUGGAUAGGCCCAACGAGGCCAUUGAGCAUCUACCCUUUUUACAAAACAUAUUAUCAAUCUUAUAGCCCAUAUGUUUAGUGAUAAGUCAACUAAACAAAGCAAGGGACCCCACUGGAAGGUGCUUGUGGGAAGUGUACCCUUCCAUCUAGGACUUCACUUUGAUGUACCAAAUUCUGAGAAAGACCCCAGAAGCCAUUUCCUUCUUGCUGAGGUUUAUUUAUCUUGUUUAUCUGAAGCCAGGGCCAAUAACCCAAAUGGCUUUCAAAUGGCUACAAAAGUUUCUCAGCAUUCGAUUAAUCAGUCCCAUCACAGACAAGUCAACUAACCUGCAGACCCACGUGCUGUACUCAUAGGCGGUGCUGGUUCUGGCAGGGGUGAUCUGGGAGGAGGUAUUUCCCGGAGGUGUUUCCGAAGGGAGAGGCACUAGCUGAAGUUGGCUCUGAGAUUCGAAGCGGAGGAGGAAAGGGAAGGUGGAGUGCUGAUGCUGACAAGGUGAGGAAGAGGAGGAGUAGAGAUUACCAGCGCUCAGAGCAUGGGUUUUGGAGGCACACAGAUCUGUGCCCAAAGGGCUAUCAAUGCUCUUCCACUUCAUUGCUGAGCAACCUGAUGUGUUCAUACGUUCCCUGAUAUGUAAAAGUGGCACAAUACUUGCGUCUACCUUAUAAAGUGCCUGCAAGCACUAAGACAAAAUGUAGACAGAGCUUAAUGCAGUGCCGGACUCAGUCAACAAAUAGCAAAUGGAAGUCGUUCUCAUUAAACAGCAAAAAGGAAGACAGAAGAAGACAAAGGGGAGAUGGGGAGGGGAUGCCGUGGGAGGCUGUGGGUGGGGUGCAGAGGCUGACACUACAGACAGCAGCCCCUCACCCAGCUCCAUCUCUGGGCGCCUGGGACAACACAGCUCUCGGUCCAGACAGGCUGCUCAGAUGUUUAUUAAGAAACCACCCAUAAAAGUUAUUGGAAACUUU